UACGUAGGUGGCAAGCGUUGUCCGGAAUGAUUGGGCGUAAAGCGCGCGCAGGCGGUUUCUUAAGUCUGAUGUGAAAUCUCGCGGCUCAACCGUGAGUGGUCAUUGGAAACUGGGGAACUUGAGUGCAGAAGAGAAGAGCGGAAUUCCACGUGUAGCGGUGAAAUGCGUAGAGAUGUGGAGGAACACCAGUGGCGAAGGCGGCUCUUUGGUCUGUAACUGACGCUGAGGUGCGAAAGCGUGGGGAGCGAACAGG
rnacentral:rRNA from 1 species